rnacentral:lncRNA from 1 species
CCGCUGUUGAUGGAGAUUCUCAGGCAGAAAGGUUGCCCUGGCAAUAUAGUAACCUUUCUCCAGAACUAUCUCCAGGGACGAGAGGUCGUCGUUGGAGAAGAGCGCGGUUCCCCGAGAGGGGUUCGCCUAUUCGAAAGCGGAAAGCGAGGACAGUACCUAACACGUACGGGCGAGGAAACAGACGGUUCACCCCGGGCGGGGUUCCGCCGGGGUCGUCGGGCGUCUCUCGGGGCGCCCGCGCGGUCCCGGUCCCGUCCGCCGUCUCUGCACGGACAGGCAACGAGAAUCGGCUCGCGCUCCGGCGCGGCCGAUCCCUGGCGCGGGCCGCUCGGUUCGUCUCGGCGGGCCGGGCGGCGUCCCGCGCGCCGGGCAGCCGGUUAUCGCCGAACGCGGGACGAUAGGGCCGCGCCCGCACGGCCGCGGUGCGAUAAAGCCACAAGCUCGCAACUUGCCGCGGCCGGGCGCGGAGAACCCUGGGGCCCGAUAGCGGCGGCGCGAUUAAGCAUAAGUCCAAGGCAGCACGCCCGGACCAUUCGUAAACGACUUGGUUCUCGGGAGAGGCGUAUUAAUUCGCGAGAGCGGACAUCGUUUCCGCGAUCCGAUGAGACCAACCUCACGCCCGGACGGUCCGUCUUGUCGUCUAGACAGGACCCUCCGCGCGGUCAGACGUUGUUCUCCUCUCCUCGCCGCUCGCUCCGCGCGGGCGGCGAGGGUCCUCCCCUCCCCACACGCCCGAACGGUCCGUCCUGUCGUCCGGACGGGACCCUUCGCGCUGCCAGAUGUUGUUCCCCGCGGCUCGGGCCGCGAGUCCGGUCCGGAGUCCCGACGGGGGGCGCCCGGCAUGUCGGAUCGCGGCCUUUCCCCCGACGCCGUUCGUCCAAGUCCCGAUGGGGGCCGGGCGCACGCCGGGUCGGACCGGGCGCCCGGCGCCGGCGGAAUCGCGGCGGCCCGGACGCUCCGACUACGUGCCCGAACGGUCCGUCCUGUCGUCUGGACGGGACCCUUCGCGCUGCCAGAAGUUAUCUCCCGCCCGGCCCCCGAGCCUUCG